rnacentral:sRNA from 1 species
AGAAGGACAUAGUGUGAUGGACACCUUGGCUGUGGCCCUACGGGUGGCUGAAGAGGCCAUUGAGGAAGCAAUUUCCAAAGCAGAGGCAUAUGGGGACAGCCUGGACAAGCAAAAUGAGGCCAGUUACCUGCGGGACCACAAGGAGGAGCUAACUGAGGAACUGGCCACG